rnacentral:rRNA from 1 species
UACAGAGGGUGCGAGCGUUAAUCGGAAUUACUGGGCGUAAAGCGUGCGUAGACGGCUAUCUAAGUCGGGUGUGAAAGCCUCGGGCUCAACCUGGGAAUUGCAUUCGAGACUGAAUAGCUAGGGUGCGGUAGAGGGAAGCGGAAUUUCCGGUGUAGCGGUGAAAUGCGUAGAUAUCGGGAAGAACACCCGUGGCGAAGGCGGUUCUCUGGGACGGUACUGACGCUGAGACGCGAAAGCGUGGGGAGCGAACAGG